AUCACAAAGACAGGAAGCCAAACACAGCAUGUUCUCCCUCAUAGAUGGUGUUAGAAGUGGGGUCUGAAGUAGAGCCUCUAUAAGAACCCCAGGAGUGCUGAGUGAACAAGCAAGGUAUCUGCUGGAGCUACUUGUGUCCUUUGAUCUCUCAGCAGCUGGAGAUCAUGAGACAUGGAUGAAACUGAAGACCAUUAUCUUAAGUGAAACAACUCAGACAAAUAUCAUGUGGAAACUCACUGGGCUGAUGAAUGCAGUCUUCCUGAUGUGAAUGGGAUUGAAGAGCUUGUCAAAAAACAUAAAGCCAACUUCACCCUUGUCACUGAACUGAGACUUUUCAACCAAACCUGUUACACAGAAAAGAAAAUACCGAAAGAAUAUUCAUCAAUCUGUAAAUAGUGAUUAUCUGUGGGGUAUGUGUGGAAAAUUAUAGGAGACUUAAAUAUUCUACAUGAUAGAUUUUUAUAAUAGUUUAUUUUUAUAAUUAGUGUGUUAUGUUUGUAAUUAUAAAUCAACAACAGCAAAAUAUAAUUUAAAGGCUCAGAGUUUUAAUAAAAUAUUUAGAAUUGGAUAAAUUCAUCUAUGUGGCUUUAAAAGUAAAGUUUAAGAUCUCUGUUGGUUAUUUGGCCCUCUGGUUCUAAUCUUUCCAUUUUGGUAAUAUGUCCUGUAAAGAUUAAUCUCUUUCAUUUUCACAACACAUAUUUGUUAAGCACUUACACUAUUCCAGACACUGUUCCAGGUAUUGAGAUUGCAAGAGAUGAUUCUUGACAUGCUAGAAUAGUGCUUCAAUAUGGGAGAUAGGAAAAAAAGAAUUAAAAUGUCGUGCAUAAUUAUGUUAGGGGAAUCUUGGGAAUAGUACUUAGGAAAAUCUUGCAGACAAUUCUUGGGAAAACUACCCACUAUUGCCCAGGGUGUCAAGCAUAGCUUUCUAGCAGAAAGG
rnacentral:lncRNA from 10 species